AUGCAUUUGUAUUAUUGGGAAGCUGAAACAUCAUUUUUUCUUUCAAGGGUUACACGAUAAACACGAAUAUUUGGGGAAGAGCAAAUAAAUUGAUAUGAAAGUGGAGGUAUCGUAUCUCAAUACAAAUUCAAAACGCUUUCACUCCAUCUUCAAUUUCAUCAUGUUCAGAAACAACACAUGUAGCGGCGGCGCUCCGUCUUCUCUCUCGGUCAUGUUCUCCGCCGUCUCAACCUCUCGUCUGUUUCAAACACGACGGCCGAAAAACUCAUACGAGUUCUCUUCUCCGGCGAACUCUCGCUUGAAUGAUUAUAGAAUUUUUAGAUAUUACAUGGAUUUGAAAAAGGAGCGCCUUCCUUUGUAUACGAUUUCAAGUUAAAGCUUAUCUAUUGUAACUUAAAAUUCCGCAGGUUUAUUUUUUGACAGAAACAAACUUAACGACUUUCAUUCCUUAAACAAAGAUCAAUACAAAGAGGUACCAUAUUAAAGAAAUUACGCCUAGACCAAGAAUUGACCGCCUUAGCUAAAGUAUGGGCAACCUAAUUCGCUUGGCGCUUAAUGAACUUUACCUCAAAGUUCGGAAAGAGAAGCAACAAAUUCUUAAUAUUCUUAAUAAUAAGGCUAAACUCAGAGUUACCUACAUGUUUAGAGCGAACAACUUUAGUUACAAUUUGACAAUCACUUUCAAAGAUAUCAUGAGAAAACUGAAAAGAGAUGGCAUUUUGGAUUGCUUCCUUCAAAGCGGUGGCUUCUGCUUCAAUGACGGAAAGAGAACCCACAUCCCAAGCAACUCCUCCUGUGAUAAAUCUCCCCACAUGAUCCCUAAAGCACCAUCCUCUAUUAGUAGUACCACAUACCUUGUUGAAAGCUGCGUCAACAUUGCACUUAACUUGGUUUACCGAAGGCGGAACCCAAAUUUCUGAAUUAAUACUAUGACCGGAAGGUUAAAGCUUAUAUGUUGUAACUUGAAAUUAUGCAUAUGAAAAUUAUGCAGGUUAAAACUUAUCUUGCAGCUUGAAUAAUGUUUGUAUACUUUUUAAAUAUUAAUAUUUUCUUCGUAUACGAUUUCAGGUUAAAGCUUAUUUUUUGUGAAAAAUAGCAUCUUUAAAGUUUAGUUUAAAAUGGCUUUUGCUUACUCUGUUAACAAAUAUAAUUUCAGGUGCUUCUAUAUUCUGAUCCCAAUUCUACGAUCCUACACAAUUGAAUAUUGACUAAUGUUUUUUUAUAGGUAUAAGGAAAGCAAAUGUGUUGCGAAACAAUUGAUGGGAUAUGGUGGAAUGUCGUCUUCACAUUCAGCUACUGUUACUGCUGUUGCUAUGGCGGUUGAAUUUCAUGAAGGAUUUGGUGGACUGUUUUUCGCUACUGCAUUGGUUCUAGCUAUGAUUGUAAAGUAUGAUGCUACUGGUGUAAGAUUGCAAGCGAGACGGCAAGCAGAGGUUUGAUUGUGGUUUAUGAGAUCUCUAUUUGUUUUGAUUGAUAUUAAAUUAUGUUUAUCGAAUUUGACUGACUCUCUAUUUAUGUUAAAAUAGAUUAUAGAAUUUUUCUUAUGGUCUUGUGGGCUGGUGAUAUUGCACUCAAUUUGACAGUAACAACACAUGUGAAAAGUAUAUGAAGAAUAAAUGAAGGAGAUGAACUUAGAAAUUUGAACAUUAGUCAGAUCGCUUCACUCAAUCCUUCUGAUGUUCAGGCCAUUCUUAUACUAUUCAUGUUGUUUCUGACUUUUCAUGUGCUCUUCUGCAACAGUGUGAUACAAUGUUAGAUUUUAUAUUCAAUUUUCUCUUAUUUUGAUUGUGUUUGUUGUGUAAUUUGACUGAUAAGUUAAAUGAA